CCUCUUGCAACUUCCUGUUGGGAAGGAGAAUAUCCCACAAGUAAUGGAUGAUCCGUGGACUGGAUACACUUAACAAGAGAAAUGCUAUGCGACAGGCGGAGGAAGCUGGAUCGGCUGUCAAGAUUAAAAGGCAACAUAGUCCCCAAAGCCACAGACACUGCAGUUUGUAAUUGGGAAGAAAAGUCCAGAGGAAAUUCAGUUAUGCCAUCCUGAGGUAUUGGAGCAGGGUGACAUAUCACAUUAUGUCGAGGAAUUUUACCCGCAGAAUGAGACUGGAGAACAGAAGCCAACCAAAGUGCUGCAGAUAUGUGCUUGUGGGCACACUAUGUUUAAUUUGCAAAAAAUAAAUUUAUUAUCUCCACUGUGAAGAGUAAAAUGAAAAUCACCUACUAGAAUUUAAUAAAGUAAUAUUUCCCUGCUAAGUAGAA